AACGAACAAGCCCGUAUUCAGCUAGUCGGCUGCGUGCGGCUGGCCUGUGUGCUCGAUAGGGUGCAUGGGUCGGUGCGGUAUGCGGUCGGCUAGUGCAUUUGCGGGUGAUGUGCGCUGAGGCGUGUGACGAAGUAAUAUGAACUGUGUUCGGAGAGGCCUUGCUUCGGCUUGGUACCUACGAGCGGGGAAUGUCGUCUUUGUUGCACGUAUCGGGUUAGGUACAGACGCGCUACAUGGCUGUCGGGUCGGCGCCUAGGUGAGUCGCAUGCGACAAUCCUGGAUGUUCGGCCUUGGCGGUGGUGGAGUGCCCUGACCGUCCCUCGGUGUAAAAGUUGGUCAUCUCUCCGACCCGUCUUGAAACACGGACCAAGGAGUCUAGCGUAUGCGCGAGUCAUUGGGUGGAAAACCCAUAGGCGAAAUGAAAGUGAAGGUCUCUUUCUGAGGCUGAUAUGCGAUCCGUUGCGCUACGGCGUACGCGGAGCAGCAUAGCCCCAUCUCGACCGCUUGCGGUGGGGUGGCGGAAGAGCGUAUUCGCUGGUACCCGAAAGAUGGUGAACUAUGCCUGAGCAGGAUGAAGCCAGGGGAAACCCUGGUGGAAGUCCGAAGCGCUUCUGACGUGC
rnacentral:rRNA from 1 species